UUUUCAAUUUUUAGUUACUGCAAAUGCCCUUUUCUUUUAUGUUGAGUGUGGAGUAGCAAUUACCACUCAUUUGAUGAUCUAACAUAUGCUUUAUGUAAUUUCUUGUGUCCAUUGAAAUGAAAAAAAGGAUUUUUUUUUUUGUUUAGGUCUUAAGUUUCACGUCGUUUUUGCUUUGUUUUGAUUAUUAAGAUAUGUUGGUGGGGGUUAUGUAAUUGCAGAAUUUUGGCAUUUCAUUCGGUUGGACUUGCCAUUGAAGAUCAUGGUUUCUGAGGUUACUUUUGAAACAGAUUGUUGAAACUGAUGUUCUAGUCAUGGCGUCGGUAUCUAGAACUAUAAAGAUUGUUAAGAGGUCAGAAAGGACAUAUAAGAAUCGACAACGGCUUUAUCUUUCUGAGCAGGUGAGAACCGUAGUGAUUUGUUGAAAUGGCUACAUUGUUUAUUUCUCUAUGUAAUUAUGUUGAAUUGCGACUAAGGAUUGUUUAUUUAUGGAGUAUGUCUUGCAUUAAAGCGAAACUAAUCAUCAUUCUUUUUGGCUCUGCAUUAUUAGGAUGUUUGAGAAUAGUUGCUAUGAUAGAAGAUGUUCUAUAUACAACGUUAUUUUAUCACUCUCAUUGAAGUACUAAAUAUAUAUAUGGUUUUAAGAGAAAC